rnacentral:rRNA from 1 species
AUUGAACGCUGGCGGCAGGCCUAACACAUGCAAGUCGAGCGGAAGAGGGGAGCUUGCUCCUGGUUUCAGCGGCGGACGGGUGAGUAAUGCCUAGGAAUCUGCCUGGUAGUGGGGGAUAACGUCCGGAAACGGGCGCUAAUACCGCAUACGUCCUGCGGGAGAAAGUGGGGGAUCUUCGGACCUUACGCUAUCAGAUGAGCCUAGGUCGGAUUAGCUAGUUGGUGGGGUAAAGGCCUACCAAGGCGACGAUCCGUAACUGGUCUGAGAGGAUGAUCAGUCACACUGGAACUGGGACACGGUCCAGACUCCUACGGGAGGCAGCAGUGGGGAAUAUUGGACAAUGGGCGAAAGCCUGAUCCAGCCAUGCCGCGUGUGUGAAGAAGGUCUUCGGAUUGUAAAGCACUUUAAGUUGGGAGGAAGGGCAGUAAGUUAAUACCUUGCUGUUUUGACGUUACCGACAGAAUAAGCACCGGCUAACUUCGUG